CUCAGAAAAGGGAGGGAAGUAAACUGGCUGUGACUCUCGAAAUUACAUCAGGUGGGAUCCUGCAACUGCACAGGGUUCCCGUGGGGAAACGACUGCUGUGGGACAUCAGACCCCAAUUCCAGGUGCACAAGAAGACGUCUCCCUGCAGUUUCAAAGCUGUGUAAAUGCAUUCCUAGGACACAAUGUGCUAUCCGUGAAUGGUGACUUUUAUAUCUGUUUUUGCACUGAUCAGCUAAAACUGUUCUAUCAGAAGACUUCCCAUCAAGAAGUGGCAAGCAGCGUGUUUCUCUCAGAAAACACAAGUAUUUGAUGAGACUUGAGGUCCUACAGCAGGGAAAAUUGCUCCUGUGUGUUUUUCCAUCAGGCUGGAGUUUGCAAGUAUUCCAGGUGGGAUGCUGCAACUACACAGAUUUCCCAUGGGGAAAUUACUUCUUUGGGACAUCAGACCCCAAUUCCAGGUGCACAAAAAGAUGUCUCCCUGCAGUUUCAAAGCUGUGUAAAUGCAUCCUAGGACACAAUGUUCUAUCCUUGAAUGUUGACUUUUUUAUGUUUUUGCACUGAUCAGCUAAAACUAUACUGUCAGAGGCCUUCCCGUCAAGAAGUGAUCGGCCUGAUAAUCUAUGUGAGCUUGCUUCUGCUAACUCCAAAUAUCCAGCAUCUGCCAUUUAACCCUCAAGACAAUGCCUUCCUGUCCUGGGAUCACUUCUAUGCUGCAUUUCACAGUCUAAUUACUGGGUCUCUGGAGUACUCCAUUCUUACUCAGUGGAAGGCUUCCAUGGUGGGCAUCUCCACUUGAAGGAAAGGACUUUCUCCAAGUCUGCAAAUCUUUCUACAAGGACAAUCAUAUGUGAUGCCUCUUCUUAAUAUGAUGACAUCUAACAAUCCUAAGAUGGACUGGUGCAACACUUUGUACCUUAACUAUGGGCACUAUGAGACUUUUAACUUUGCUGAUUGUUCUGUUUUUGCUGUUUGCUCCCUGCAUCUGUAAGUGUGUGGCUGGAUUUGUUUCUAGCUGCAUGAAGGAUUUUAAGUGACAAAUGGUUGCUCAAACUCCUGCCACUGUGGCAGCUUCCUCCAACUACUACUUGGGGCCCCUGGAUCAGAGACCCUCAAUAUGAGGGUUAGGAGAAUAUGUUGCCUCACUAAUUUAGGGACGAUGCCCCUUAUCAGCUUGGAAGCAGUUACAGAAUGAGAACAGUGCUCCUUUCCCUAGGAAACAUAAUUCUCCUAAAAGAAAAGGGAGGAAAAAGAGGGUAACAGGCAGAAAGGCUCAGUUCAGUUCAGUUCAGUUCAGUCGCUCAGUCGUGUCUGACUCUGCAACCCCAUGAAUUGCAGCACACCAGGCCUCCCUGUCCACCAUCAACUCCCGGAGUUCACUCAAACUCAUGUUCUUCGAGUUGGUGACGCCAUCCAGCCACCUCAUCCUCUGUUGUCCCCUUCUCCUCCUGCCCCCAAUCCCUCCCAGCAACAGAGGCUUUUCCAAUGAGUCACCUCUUCACAUGAGGUGGCCAAAGUAUUGGAGUUUCAGCUUCAGCAUCAGUCCUUCCAAUGAACACCCAGGACUGAUCUCCUUUAGAAUGGACUGCUUGGAUCUCCUUGCAGUCCAAGGGAUUCUCAAGAGUCAUAGUCUGCAAAUGUCAGACAUUUUUUAUCUCUCUCUCAAGUGGCAGGAGGAAACAAACUACAAGUGUCAGAUUUCUUUUCCCUUCUCUAUACAAAAUUAAAAAUGCUUCCUCUUAAAAUUCUAUGUUGCCAUGAUGACACCUGGUUCCACCUGAAUUUAACUUUUCUCAAAUCUUGAGCCAACCAAUGCAUUUUUCUUACAGAAAUGUUUUUCUUAAGCUAUGUUAAUGAACUAUGUAUUUAACCCCUAGACUCCCUGUUUCUUCAAGUCGGUUUCACCUAAGACGCAGAACCAAUAAUGACUCAACAAACCAGUAUGUUUUACUCAUACAAUUGUUCUCUUAAUCUAUGUUAAUGAGACUAUAUAUUUGAUUGGAAACCUGCCUUUCUUCAUGCCAAUCAUUU
ensembl:lncRNA